GAUGAACGCUAGCUACAGGCUUAACACAUGCAAGUCGAGGGGAAACGACAUCGAAAGCUUGCUUUUGAUGGGCGUCGACCGGCGCACGGGUGAGUAACGCGUAUCCAACCUGCCCACCACUUGGGGAUAACCUUGCGAAAGUAAGACUAAUACCCAAUGACGUCUCUAGAAGACAUCUGAAAGAGAUUAAAGAUUUAUCGGUGAUGGAUGGGGAUGCGUCUGAUUAGCUUGUUGGCGGGGUAACGGCCCACCAAGGCGACGAUCAGUAGGGGUUCUGAGAGGAAGGUCCCCCACAUUGGAACUGAGACACGGUCCAAACUCCUACGGGAGGCAGCAGUGAGGAAUAUUGGUCAAUGGACGAGAGUCUGAACCAGCCAAGUAGCGUGCAGGAUGACGGCCCUAUGGGUGGUAAACUGCUUUUAUAAGGGAAUAAAGUGAGUCUCGUGAGACUUUUUGCAUGUACCUUAUGAAUAAGGACCGGCUAAUUCCGUG
rnacentral:rRNA from 1 species